CCAACCCCCCUGCCAUGGGCAGGGACACCUCACACUAAACCAUGUCAACCAAGGCUCUGUCCAACCUGCCCUUGAACACUGCUGGGGAUGGAGCAUUCACAACUUCCUUGGACAAGUUGUUCCAGUGUCUCACCACCCUUACCAUAAAGAACUUCUUCCUUUCUCAAGUCCAGUGAAGGUUUCCACAAUAUGAUGUUAUUUUGCAAGAAUGUAUUUAUAAAAAUUACUUCUUGAAGUAUGACCUGUCUUGGGCUUUCUCAUGGAGAGUUGCCAUCUGGUGCCAGUGCUCAUCAUUGGUGUUAAUCUCUAUUGUUAGCAAUAAAAACUUUAGAUGCCAUGAGAGCUAUGUUGGCUGACAGUGAAAAGUACUUUUUUAUAAUAGCUGGAAUUUCACAAAAAAAAAAAAAGAAAAGGAAAUAGUUAAGCUGUUUCUGUAUUUCUCCUUUUUCACAGCAGUAGAUUAACACUUUUUAAUAUUAGAACAACUUCUGUUGUAAAACACUAGCGUGCCUAAACGCUGAAUGGCAGAAGGCUUCUUGACAGAAACCCCUGCAGACAGAAAACCAGGUGGGGUACCGAGGCUGGUAUCUCACCUUGGAGCAGGAGGUUUUCAGCCUGAUGCCUUCUUUCUCAGCUUGUACUGGGAGAGAAGGGUCGUGCAGUGCUGACAGCAGCCAGUGGAUAGACGUGUGCUGUUGCACGAGUGACCUCUACUGGCUACACGGCAUUAGGAGUAGCAAUCGGAAAAUUUUAAGCGGCAUUGUAACUGAGUCCCCAGCGUAUACAUCCUCUAACUGCAGCUGCUGUUGUCCGUUGUUGUUGGUGGUCCCCAGAAACGGAAGGGGCUCAGUGGAUGAGGAAAAACUAUAGGGUAGGUGGCAAUGGGAUACUGCUUUCUAAUACAUCCUGAUCUAUCCAGAACUGAUAACAAAUUACAGCCGCUUCUUUUCACGACUGGUUAUUGCUUUACAAAUGCCAUUAAGGAAAGACUCAAAUCUCACAUUUGACUAAUAAAAAUAGAUGAUAUGCCAAGUAAAUAUUCAGUUGAUGGGAAAGGACAGGAAUUCUCAGGGCAGUUUGUAGAGAUAUUGAUAACUUUCAAUACCUUUAUUCAGUAACUGAAAGAGCUGUCUAUGUCAGUUGGAUCUGCUGUUUUAAUUUUACUUCUCAACUGGGACCCACUUUUAUGCAAAAAAUGACAGAAGAACUGUAUGUUUUUGUUUGAAAUAGUAGAAAUGUAAGACUUUCCAGGCUCUUGAAAGGAACCCAAUGUAGUAAUUCUUAGAUAUGUCAAAACAAAGGUUUUAUAAAUAAGUAACCAGAAAGUUAAUUAAAUGAAUGUAUGUUCUGUUGGUUUUAAUCCAAUAAGUAUCUGAAAUAGAGAAGCUGAUGCUUUUCCUCAUCAGCUACAACUCUGUUGAGCAUGGCCUCUUCAGUUCUUAUACUUCUGGAGGACAUUCUUAACUUGUCUUGCCCAUGCUCUCCAAAUCCUCAGCUGUAAAAAAUAUGCUGUUGCUGUGGAAGUGAGUGCUCAGGUAAAGCUUUUUCAUGAUUUCUUUAGAAGCCUACAGUGGAAAACAGCUCUUUUAAAAUCUCUUGCACAUCUCAGCAUGUGGGAGGCAGAGCCUUCCUUUUUCCUAUGGUUGCUGAUGUUGCAGAGCAGGCAAGCCAGGCUCCCAAGAUGCAAACUGCUGCUGUUCUGUGACGUGAAAGUAAGACCCCAUUCGUACCCAAGCCCAACAUAUAGAAUAUAUGUUUGCAUGCCUGUCUAUGUGUUCACAUCUGUCUGAUAUUAUCCCAUAGUUAUUUUGAUGUACUGGUUAAAAUAACUUCUGUGCUGCACUGGAAUUUUCCUUUGAAGGGAUUCUGUCAAUAUAAUACACUUCUGACUAUUAGCUAAGACUUUUGGAAAUAAUUACAAAAAAUACAUUUUCUAGCUUAUUUAGCUAAUGGAUGUGUCAGCACUUUGUGUAUUGACAGUUUCCCAUAUCAUCUGUAUGAAUAUUUCUCCCCCUGCUUAGAGAAAUUAAUUAUAUGAAAAUAAAAGAAGGUGUUCUGUACAAAUGUUGUUAAGGGAGAUGGGAGCAGCUGCAGCACAGGAACUAUCCACCUAACUACUGAGAUAUAAAAGGAAAUCAUGGGGUAUUUCAGAUGCUUCAACUGUUCACAGCUGAUUUAUAUUUGUGUAUAGCUAAAGUCAUUAUUAGGCAGUGGCUGAGUAAGAACACGACAAGCCAGAAAUCAGAUAUUUAUGCUAAUUUUGGACUAUAUUUGUAUGUGCAGUCUUGAAAUUCCAGAUGCUUUAGUGGUAUUUUGCAGGAGCAAUGGACAUGGCAUGGUAGUCCUUACACAGGAGCUGUGUAUGAAACAAAUCCUGAUUGUGUUCUUGCAUUUACUGUAUGUGUAUUUUCAGAGAGAGGAGCUGAAAGCAUGAGUUCAGUGGAAUUAAAUGAUUGUUAUUUUUUAACAUGGUUGUUGAUAUUGUAAAUUGUUCUGUACAGAUAACAAUGGUAUGUAUUAAUUCAAAGUAUCUAUUAUUGGCGGUAGCUUAUUGGGGUUUUGUUUCUUUGUAGAAAAAAUCCUCCAAAAACAUUACUUGCAUUGGUACAUUCUGGAUGUGACUUUAGAUAGAUGAAUUAUUCUUAUCCAGUUGGAUUUAAGAAAGUAAGCCAAAGCAUAUUUAAGGGAGAACAAAUAAAUCUUUUUUGUUCUGAGGGAUAAGAGUUAUAAAACAUUUCUGUAUAGUUCAUGUUAACUGAAGCAAUCUUCUUGUAGUAUUCCAGUCCAAAUCCUGCAAUAGGAAAUUUUAUAAGGUACCUUAGAUGUCAUUGUCUUUUAUCCUGGAUAAACCCAUUUUGUUAGUAAUAGUAUGUUUUUGCUUCACAACAAAUGCUGGUUAGAUUCCUGAAAUCUGUGUAUCAUGUUUAUGUCACAAUGUGUUGAAGCCCUUUAUAUUACCUGCUGUUAGAGUGCUAUCAGUAAUAAAUGUCAAUUGUAGUGAUAUAGAGUAACUUAUGUACUUACAUAUGAAUUUAACUAUGCCACCCACAAACUUAAAAUGAUACAAUGAAUUUAGAAUCAAAACAUGGUAAAGUUUAAAUAUAUAUUCUAUAUUUUAUUAGAUCAUAAAUAUACAAAUCUAGCCACCUUCCCCCUAAAAUUGAUGCAGAUAUUUUUAUAUAUAUAUAUUUAAGAAAUGAAAGGUAUACUGUUUUCAUGGAUGUUUUAAUAAGUGCCAAUAUGAAAUGUGCCAUAAGCAUCCUGAGAUACCAAAAGCAGAACAACCUGGGUGAAAUUUGUGACAGUGCAAGAAAUCUGUGCGGGACUGUGCAAUUGUUUUAAUCAGAUGUGAUGCCUUUGAUAUGGGGGUGCAUUUUGUACAGUAGGAAUUUAAUUCACAUGACAGCUGGCACACGUUAUUUGAUUACAGAGAAAAACUAACAGCACCUUUUAAUGCUCUCAGGUCCUAAUUCUUUCUAGACUUGCCAGGAAGUCUGUACCAGUUGCAGUGUGCUCAUUUAAAGCACUGAGAUUACUCAGUGUUAGACAAAUACAAUAAAGUAAGUGGAAUUUCAUAUAAUGUAGGAUACUUGUAUUUUGUUUUUAAUUACCUGUGCCUUUAGUAUAUCUUUCUGGUAUAUGUUUUGAGAACCUCUGCAUUUUUAGUAGCUGCACCUUUCAAAAGCUAACUAUAAUGCCUUUACCAUCUCCUGACAAGUUUUGCAUUCGAGUUUUAGAAAUUUUGAAAACUUUAGCUAAGUUGAAGGUUUCUGUGCAUAGACAUGCAUUACUAAAAACUAUAUGUAUAAAUAUCUUUAUUUUUAUUGUCAUUUGGACAAGUUCUGUUUGUAUGUUUUCAUUGAGCCUGGUGCCAAGUAAACUCCUGCUUUACCACGUUUAGUUGGAGUCAGGACAAUGGAUAAAAGGAUUUGAAUGUUCAGGAGGGAUAUUUUUCUUUUGUGUUACCAGAAAGUAAAGCAUGAAAUGUGUUACAUAUCUUUAAGAGUAAUUAUAUUUUAAAGAACAGUAGUGCUCAUAUCCAUUUUAGCUUUUCUCUUUGUUCAUAUGUACAUUGUAGUGAUUAUUUCUGUAUUAUAUCUGCUGAGCAUAUGAAAUGUAGAUAGAAUGAUUAUGAUGCAACUUAAGGUACAAAUUCAUAUUUCAUCAAAGUGCUCUACCAAAAUGAAAAGUCUUGAAUUUUUAUGAAUGUAAAAAUGCUUAUAUUUAAGAAUAUGGUGCUUGUUUUUUCACUUUCACAAUACAGUUUUAAUCACUGAUAUUUUUAGUUACCUUUGUUCCAAAUUCUGAUGGAAAUUACAUUGCUCUUCAUUUACUGUAAAAUGUGCUUCAUGGGACAAUGAUUGUGCAUUUGUUCCAUAUUUUUUUUAAAUAAAGCUGAAUAUUACUUGUA